rnacentral:rRNA from 1 species
UUAAGUAAGGAAGGGCGUACGGCGAAUGCCUGGCCACUCGAAACUGAAGAAGGACGCGCCAAACUGCGAAAAGCUCCGUGAAGCUGUAAGGAAGCGAAGAAGCGGAGGUGUCCGAAUGGGGGAACCCGGCAGCAGACAUGAGCUGUCAUCUGCAGGUGAAUACAUGGCCUGCAAGAGAGGUACCCGGCGAACUGAAACAUCUAAGUAGCCGGAGGAAAAGAAAACAACAGUGAUUCCCUGAGUAGCGGCGAGCGAAAGGGGAGAAGCCCAAACCGGUCCAAGGACCGGGGUUGAAGGACCAUGAUAUGGCAAGAGAGAGGAUAGAAGAACGGGAUCGAAAGCCCGGCCGAAGAAGGUGCAAGCCCUGUAAUUGAAAUCCGAUUGAAGCCUAAUGGGAUCCUGAGUACGGCGAGACACGAGGAAUCUUGUCGGAAGCAGGCGGGACCAUCCGCCAAGGCUAAAUAUAAACGAGUGAGCGAUAGUGAACCAGUACCGUGAGGGAAAGGUGAAAAGAACCGCGGGAGCGGAGUGAAAGAGAACCUGAAACCGUAUGCCUACAAGAAGUCAGAGCCCGUUAAGGGGUGAUGGCGUGCCUUUUGUAGAAUGAACCGGCGAGUUGCGACAGACUGCGAGGUUAAGGAGGAAAGACCGGAGCCGAAGCGAAAGCGAGUCUUAAUAGGGCGAAAGUAGGAUGUUGCAGACCCGAAACCGGGUGAUCUAGCCAUGAGCAGGUUGAAGUUGAGGUGAAACUCAAUGGAGGACCGAACCGACUACCGUUGAAAAGUUAGCGGAUGACUUGUGGAUAGGGGAGAAAUUCCAAUCGAACCCGGAGAUAGCUGGUUCUCCCCGAAAUAGCUUUAGGGCUAGCGUCGGAAAGAACCUUAGUGAAGGUAGAGCACUGAAUGUGUGAUGGCCCCAUCCCGGGGUACUGAAUACAAUCAAACUGCGAAUGUCAUUAAGGAUGUCCGGCAGUCAGACUGUGAGUGAUAAGGUCCAUGGUCAAGAGGGAAACAGCCCAGACCGCCAGUUAAGGUCCCAAAAUACAGGCUAAGUGGAAAAGGAUGUGGGGAUGCCCAGACAACUAGGAGGUUGGCUCAGAAGCAGCCAUCCUUUAAAGAGUGCGUAACAGCUCACUAGUCGAGUGACCCUGCGCCGAAAAUGUACCGGGGCUAAGCCUGAUACCGAAACUGCGGAUUGUAGGAAACUAUAGUGGUAGGGGAGCGUUGUAUACGAGUAGAAGCCGUACCGUGAGGAGCGGUGGAUUGUAUAGAAGUGAGAAUGCCGGUGUGAGUAGCGAGAUGUAGGUGAGAAUCCUACACACCGAAAGCCCAAGGAUUCCAGGGGAAGGUUCGUCCGCCCUGGGUAAGUCGGGACCUAAGGCGAGGCCGAAAGGCGUAGUGGAUGGAAAGCAGGCGAAAGAUUCCUGCACCCGUAUAUGGAGCGAAGGAGUGACGGAGACGGAUAGUGUGACCCUCUUAAUGGAUUGAGGGCGAAGCGAAGCGGCUGGUUACCAGGCAAAUCCGGUAACCAUAAGGCUAGAGCGUGAUAGGCAAGCGAAAUCUUAGGAAAGUAGCGAAGCACAUGAUGACGGCUUCCAGGAAAAGCUUCUGGCAAUGCAUAUGCGGCCCGUACCAAAACCGACACAGGUGGGCAGGGAGAGAAUCCCGAGGUGAGCGAGAGAACUGUUGCCAAGGAACUCGGCAAAAUGACUCCGUAAGUUAGCGAGAAGGAGUGCUUAAGCAAUUAAGCCGCAGUGAAGAGGCCCAAGCGACUGUUUAACUAAAACACAGCUCUCUGCGAAGUCGCAAGACGAAGUAUAGGGGGUGACACCUGCCCGGUGCUGGAAGGUUAAGAGGAUCUGUUAAGAGCGAUCUGAAGCAGUGAUCCGAAGCCCCAGUGAACGGCGGCCGUAACUAUAACGGUCCUAAGGUAGCGAAAUUCCUUGUCAGGUAAGUUCUGACCCGCACGAAAGGUGUAACGAUUUGGGCGCUGUCUCGGC